ACAAUUAUGAUUAUUAAUAAUUCGCUGCGUUUUGUAUGAAUACAAAAUCAAAUUUGUCUUUAUAAGCCAUCCAUUGUAAAUCCACCAGUAUUAUAAAAUCCAAUACACGAUAAAAAUAUACAACAUAGUAUUUAGAUAGCUAAGAAGUACAGAAAAUCAGUCAGUGUCGUGCUAGCUUCCAAUCGAUAGUUAUAUAUAUGUAUAUAAAUUUCAUACAAUAAAAUAAUAAAAUGGGUUUUGAUACCGUUUUUUUGGUAAUUGCUUGUUCACUUUUUGUCCUUAAUUUUGUGUUUAUAAUAGGAUCAGUUGCUUUUACUGUACUAAUUCAAGAAAAGGAACCAAUAAAAAAUGGCAUUAAACAAAUACCAUCAGUAAGUCACCUGAGCGCUCGACCUAGCCUUGUCCCUCCCUUGCCUCAAGUGAUGAUGUACAACGCCCUUAUUCGAACCAGCAGUGCAAACAAUGUCGCAAACAAAGCAGUUUUUAAUUAGAGUUAUGGAAUUCUAAAACUAAUAAAAGUUUACUUAAAUUGACUUA